rnacentral:rRNA from 1 species
AUUAGAUACCCUGGUAGUCCACGCCGUAAACGGUGGGCACUAGUUGUGGGAACCUUCCACGGUUUCUGCGACGCAGCUAACGCAUUAAGUGCCCCGCCUGGGGAGUACGAUCGCAAGAUUAAAACUCAAAGGAAUUGACGGGGCCCCGCACAAGCAGCGGAGCAUGCGGCUUAAUUCGACGCAACGCGAAGAACCUUACCAAGGCUUGACAUAUACAGGAAUAUGGCAGAAAUGUCAUAGCCGCAAGGUCUGUAUACAGGUGGUGCAUGGUUGUCGUCAGCUCGUGUCGUGAGAUGUUGGGUUAAGUCCCGCAACGAGCGCAACCCUCGUUCUGUGUUGCCAGCAUUUAGUUGGGGACUCACAGGAGACUGCCGGGGUUAACUCGGAGGAAGGUGGGGAUGACGUCAAAUC